UGGGGAAUAUUGCACAAUGGGGGAAACCCUGAUGCAGCGACGCCGCGUGAGCGAAGAAGGUUUUCGAAUCGUAAAGCUCUGUCCUAUGAGAAGAUAAUGACGGUAUCAUAGGAGGAAGCUCCGGCUAAAUACGUGCCAGCAGCCGCGGUAAUACGUAUGGGGCGAGCGUUGUCCGGAAUUAUUGGGCGUAAAGGGUACGUAGGCGGUCUAUUAAGUCAGGUGUGAAAGCGUGAGGCUUAACCUCAUUAAGCACUGGAAACUGAUAGACUUGAGUGAAGGAGAGGAAAGUGGAAUUCCUCGUGUAGCGGUGAAAUGCGUAGAUAUUAGGAGGAAUAACGGUGGCGAAGGCGACUUUCUGGACUUUUACUGACGCUCAGGUACGAAGGCGUGGAGAGCAAACAGG
rnacentral:rRNA from 1 species